GAGUUUGAUUAUGGCUCAGGAUGAACGCUGGCGGCGUGCGUAACACAUGCAAGUUGGACGACGGUAUCAUGAAGUGGUAACACGGAGUGAUAUACGGAGUAGCGGACGGGUGAGUAUAACAUGAGAAGCUGUCCUGUCGAGGGGGAUAACGUUCGGAAACGGACCCUAAUACCCCAUAGGCCUUAGGGUUAAAGCAGCGAUGCGCGACAGGGGGUGCUCGUGACCUAUCAGCUGGUUGGUGAGGUAAUGGCUCACCAAGGCGACGACGGGUAGCCGGCCUGAGAGGGUGACCGGCCACACUGGAACUGAGAUACGGUCCAGACUCCUACGGGAGGCAGCAGUGGGGAAUAUUGGGCAAUGGGAGGAAUCCUGACCCAGCGACGCCGCGUGAACGAAGAAGGCCUUCGGGUCGUAAAAUUCUUUUAUGUGGGAAGAAGGAAGUGACGUACCACAUGAAUA
rnacentral:rRNA from 1 species